AGCAACCAGUUCCUAUAAAGGCAGAUGAGGGGAAGGGCCAGGGGCUCUUGAGUCUUUAGGGGCUCAGGUGUCCAACACUCUCUCUGUGGUGUGAUACAGCCUUUCACACUGGCUACUGGCUUUCAGUAGCCACUCACUAAACAGAACUGUCAUUUUGGGGUGUGUUAUUUUCUUUUGGGAAACAGACCUGCAUGUGCAGACUCGGUCCGAUUAGUUAGUUCAGACUUACAACCAUAGAUGAUGCAGUGAGGGAUAGGGGGGGUCUGAGAUAGGAUUACAUACCUGUCUUCUACACCUGUGAUCCACUGUUGGUGUCCAUCGCUGACCCAUACUCUGCAGCCUCUCCAGCAGCAGCACCUGAAGAAGACGCCAUAGCAAGCAUGGAGACUGAAGACUAGAGACUCCAAGAGAAGAGACUGGCCCAGGGUUCAAGGAUGAAAUCUGUGUACUAUGAACUGCAAUAUCCAGUGGGCACUGGGCAGAAAAUUUCCUUUUUCCCUUGGGGUAAUAUUGCCAGCAUCACAAAAGCAAACUAGUUUUCACUGGAUUUGUCACAGAAAACUACAGUAAGCAUCCGGGAAUCAUUGCUUUGUGUCACGGCCGAGUUAAAGCUGGAGGUCAAAGUUGGAAACUGAAACCCAGUAUGUACUACAUCAGCUGAAUAAUGGUAUUCCAUGAUCACUAGAUCUCAUUAUGCCAAGAAGAGGAUUUUGGCAGCUGAUAAAAAGAAGUCUGAAUAAAACUCAUUUAACUAAAUGUGAAGAAAGCUGUGCUGAAGCCAAGGUAAAGGGACAUGGUCAACUUAAAAAAAAAAUCCUGUGUUAUUUUUUUUUAAACUUGGUAUUGAUUCAAGCAACACUUAAGAUUAUUAUAAAUGAAACUUUAGAAAAAAAUAUUUGGUUCUUCCAGUUUGCAAAAUUUGAACAUUUUAUAAUAUUUUGACCAGGUUUUCAAAAUUUGCCACCUAAAUUUAGACUCUAAAUCCUGAUUCAGCCUCCCAAAUACAUGUGCUUAUUUUCGAAAGUGUUGAGUACACAAUUAGGCUAAAUCAAAAUGUAAACUGGUUUAUUAAGAAUGUCUUCAUUAGAGAGUUACACCCUGAAACUUAGUCUAAUUUUAAAUUGGUCUUUUUACACCAUGCAACUUUUCUAAUGCUUUAGGCCUGUCCUAAUUAUUGCCACAUUCAAAAAUCUCUCCUGUUGAAGCUGUUCUGCUGUGUAUUAUAAAAGUAAUUAAAAAAUCAUUAGAUCAGGAGCUUGGUCUCCCACCUCCCAGAGAGGUACCCUAACUACUAUGCUAUAGAGUCAGUCUCAUGCCUACGCUCUCUCGCUCUCUCUCUGGCCCAUUGACUAUUUAAAUAUUUCUAUACAGUGGAACUUCAACAGGAGAGAUUGAGGGAGACCCAUAUCAGAAUAUCCUAUAGCCCAGUGAUUAAGGCACUCUCAGGAGAGGUGGAAGACCCCUAUUCAAAUUCUUUUUCCCCCCUCAGCCAGAGAGAAGAAUUUAACUGAAGUCUCCCACAUACUGAGUGAAUGCUCUAACCACUGGGUUAAAAGUUAUCAAAUGGGCACCACCAUCUCCUUCCCCAGCCAGAUUUUGAAUUGGAUCCAAUCUGGUAGGUGAUAGUUGAGCACACCUACCGUAUUGGCCACCCAAUGAAAUUAGGUUUAAAAAAAAACAUAAGGAAGUACUUCUUCACACAAUGCACAGUCAACCAGUAGCAUUUCAUUGCCAGGGGAUAUUGUGAAGACCAAAAGUGUAACUGGGUUCAAAAAAAGAAUGAGAUAAGUUCAUGGAGGAUAUGUCCAUCAAUGGCUAUUAGCCAAGAUGGUCAGGGAUUAAGCAAUUUGAUGCAUCUCUGCUAUUUUUGAACAUUUCAUAUUUCUUGGGUCUCUAAAAAUGGCUGAAAAUGUGAACACAGGUAUUUUUGGGGGAUUGCAAUACUGUGGAGCUGGUGAGACAGAUCCUCCCUCAGAUCCCUUUCCCCUUCCUGUCUCCCCCAUUUCCCCUCCCUCCCACCUCAACUACUCUGAGGGGGAGUGCUACCCCACAACAAGGACACAGAAUUAAUUCUGACUCUGCGAUGGUUGGAUCUAGUGAGCAGAUGACAGGGGUGGGGUGGAGAACACUGGCCUGGGAAGAUUGGAAGAAGAGACGAAAGAAGCAGUAGGGCAAGAGGCUGGAGCCCUAAGCUACAGCAGAGUGAGAAGGUCACUGGACCCAGGAAAGGGGCACUCGAGUAUGGCCCUGAGUCAGGGUGAAAAAAAGUGGGGCAGAGAGUCUGUGUGUGUCUAGUCAGGUGCGGAGUGAGUGGGAGGCAGGCUGUUUUGUUGUAUGCUGUGCCAGGACAAGGGAGUCUGUGUAACCCCUGCUAAAGAUUCUGACUUGUGUCUGCUCCUGGCAUUUAGAGAUUUGUGACCCAAUUGCAUUCACAGCCUUUUCCUUAAAGUUCUCAAAAUCCAUAUUGGGGUUUUGGACCCAAAGGGAGUUCGGAGCCUGCACAGCAACCAGGUCCCUUCUGACAAUCAUUGCACCAAGUCCUGUUCUAGCUCCUGGAUCAGGAAGGGUCUCAUUUUUUUGGUGAUGCAGAGGAUCACUUAGAAGUUAUUGGAAAAGUUUCUGAGGGUCUUGGUCAU